UAUAUAACCUCAUUAGGAGCCCCCUGUAUAUAACCUCAUUAGGUGUCCCCUGUAUAUAGCCUCAUCAGGUGCCCCCUGUAUAUAACCUCAUCAGGUGCCCCCUGUAUAUAACCUCAUCAGGUGCCCCCUGUAUAUAACCUCAUCAGGUGCCCCCUGUAUAUAACCUCAUUAGUAGCCCCCUGUAUAUAACCUCAUUAGGAGCCCCCUGUAUAUAACCUCAUUAGGUGCCCCCCCUGUAAUAUAACCUAAUUAGGAGCCCCCUGUAUAUAACCUCAUUAGGUGCCCCCUGUAUAUAGCCUCAUUAGGUGCCCCCUGUAUAUAACCUCAUUAGGUGCCCCCUGUAGAUAACCUCAUUAGAUGUCCCCCCACGUAUAUAACCUCAUCAGGUGCCCCC
ensembl:lncRNA